UGGCAAGUCGUGACAACGAACACCACUCUACUCUCCAUAACAAACUCUACAUGGCUCUGAACGGCCCCCUGACGCCACUACUCUCCGUAACAAACUCCACGUGGCCCCGAACGGCCCACUACCAGGUAGUUACAGACAUCGCUGUCAAUCAGUUACGCUCUCCAUCUAUAAAAAGGGACCCCAGAUACGUUCUUCUCUAAGCU
rnacentral:lncRNA from 1 species